UUCCGGUUGAUCCUGCCGGAGGCCACCGCUAUUGGAUUGCGCUUAAGCCAUGCGAGUCGAGAGACUUCGGGUCUCGGCGAACUGCUCAGUAACACGUGGAUAAUCUGCCCUGUGGUGGGGGAUAACCUCGGGAAACUGAGAAUAAUACCCCAUAGACUGGAGAUGCUGGAACGCACCCCAGUUGAAACGGGCUUUACCGCCUUAGGAUGAGUCUGCGGCCUAUCAGGUUGUAGUGGGUGUAAAGUACCUACUAGCCUUCGACGGGUACGGGCGUUGGGAGACGUAGCCCGGAGAUGGAUUCUGAGACAUGAAUCCAGGCCCUACGGGGCGCAGCAGGCGCGAAAACUUCACAAUGCGGGAAACCGCGAUGAGGGGACUCCAAGUGCGUGCGCAAAGCGUACGCUUUUCUUAUGUCUAGAUAGCAUGGGGAAUAAGGGCUGGGUAAGACCGGUGCCAGCCGCCGCGGUAACACCGGCAGCCCGAGUGGUGGUCGAUUUUAUUGGGCCUAAAGCGUCCGUAGCCUGCUCGGUAAGUCCUUGGGUAAAUCAUCCAGCUUAACUGUAUGAAUUCCAGGGGUACUGCCGGGCUUGGGACUGGGAGAGGCUAGAGGUACUCAUGGGGUAGGGGUAAAAUCCAGUAAUCCUGUGGGGACCACCAGUGGCGAAGGCGUCUAGCUAGAACGGCUCCGACGGUCAGGGACGAAGCCCAGGGGCACAAACCGGAUUAGAUACCCGGGUAGUCCUGGGUGUAAACGCUGCGGGCUUGGUGUUGGGGGUCCUGCUAGGGCGUCCAGUGCCGUAGAGAAGUUGUUAAGCCCGCCGCCUGGGGAGUACGGUCGCAAGGCUGAAACUUAAAGGAAUUGGCGGGGGAGCACUGCAACGGGUGGAGCGUGCGGUUUAAUUGGAUUCAACGCCGUAAAACUCACCGGGGGCGACGGUUACAUGAAGGCCAGAUUGAUGAUCUUGCCAGAUUUUCCGAGAGGUGGUGCAUGGCCGUCGUCAGUUCGUACCGUAGGGCGUUCUGUUAAGUCAGAUAACGAACGAGACCCCUGUCCUUAUUUGCUAAUACCUUCUCAGGAAGGGGCGCACUAUAGGGAGACCGCUGGUGCUAAACCAGAGGAAGGAGGGGGCAACGGUAGGUCAGUAUGCCCCGAAUCCCCCGGGCUACACGCGCGCUACAAAGGACAGGACAAUGGGCAUCGACACCGAGAGGUGGAGCAAUCCCGAAACCUGUUCGUAGUUCGGAUUGAGGGCUGUAACUCGCCCUCAUGAAGCUGGAAUCCGUAGUAAUCGCGGGUCAACAUCCCGCGGUGAAUAUGCCCCUGCUCCUUGCACACACCGCCCGUCAAACCAUCUGAGUGGGGUCUCGAUGAGGCUGCGCCAUUUUGGCGUAUUCGAGUCGGGGCUUCGCAAGGAGGGUUAAGUCGUAACAAGGUAACC
rnacentral:rRNA from 1 species